rnacentral:rRNA from 1 species
UACGUAGGGUGCAAGCGUUAAUCGGAAUUACUGGGCGUAAAGCGCGCGCAGGCGGUUUUGUAAGUCAGAUGUGAAAUCCCCGGGCUUAACCUGGGAACUGCGUUUGAAACUACAAGGCUAGAGUGUGGCAGAGGGGGGUGGAAUUCCACGUGUAGCAGUGAAAUGCGUAGAGAUGUGGAGGAACACCGAUGGCGAAGGCAGCCCCCUGGGUUAACACUGACGCUCAGGCACGAAAGCGUGGGGAGCAAACAGG